rnacentral:rRNA from 1 species
AAAUGAAUAGACGGGGGCCCGCACAAGCGGAGGAACAUGUGGUUUAAUUCGAUGAUACGCGAGGAACCUUACCCGGGCUCGAACGGCAGAUGAAUAUGUAUGAAAGUAUAUAGUCGCGAGACAUUUGUCGAGGUGCUGCAUGGUUGUCGUCAGCUCGUGCCGUGAGGUGUCGGCUUAAGUGCCAUAACGAGCGCAACCCUUACCGAUAGUUACCAGCGUAUAAAGAUGGGGACUCUAUUGGGACUGCCACCGUAAGGUGCGAGGAAGGUGGGGAUGACGUCAAAUCAGCACGGCCCUUACGUCCGGGGCGACACACGUGUUACAAUGGGGGGGACAGAAGGCAGCUACCUGGCGACAGGAUGCGAAUCUAUAAACCCUCUCCCAGUUCGGAUUGGAGUCUGCAACUCGACUUCAUGAAGCUGGAUUCGCUAGUAAUCGCGCAUCAGCCAUGGCGCGGUGAAUACGUUCCCGGGCCUUGUACACACCGCCCGU